CCACUAAUUACUGGGGCUUGCUGGCCUUCUACAAUGUCCUUGCAAGGGCACAUUUUCUUCCCAUUGUAGCAUUAACUUCUAAUUGGCAUCUUCCUUCCCUUUUCCCAACUGCACCUAAAACUUUAAGCUUUUUCACACAAUCUGACGGUGCUAAUCACCUGAUCUGUGCUUUAUAUGCUCCAAUAAUUACCAUCAUGCCAAAUAACAAAUUUGAGCAAAGGUAGGUUUUCAGUGUGGUUCUCCAAAAGAAUUCUGUUCAUUUAUACUAUGCAGUAUGUUAACAGUAUUGCUACUCAUGUAAGUGAAAAAAAAUUAACUUUUUUUUCCACAGCAAAAACCUUGUGUUGAUUGUAGAUAUUUGGUUUUUUUUAAUUUAAAUAAAGUUUUCCCUCACAACUUUUCAUUUACUUUCAUAAUAAAACUCAUCAUUUUAAAUAG